rnacentral:rRNA from 1 species
GAUGAACGCUGGCGGCGUGCCUAAUACAUGCAAGUCGAGCGAACAGACGAGGAGCUUGCUCCUCUGACGUUAGCGGCGGACGGGUGAGUAACACGUGGAUAACCUACCUAUAAGACUGGGAUAACUUCGGGAAACCGGAGCUAAUACCGGAUAAUAUAUUGAACCGCAUGGUUCAAUAGUGAAAGACGGUUUUGCUGUCACUUAUAGAUGGAUCCGCGCCGCAUUAGCUAGUUGGUAAGGUAACGGCUUACCAAGGCGACGAUGCGUAGCCGACCUGAGAGGGUGAUCGGCCACACUGGAACUGAGACACGGUCCAGACUCCUACGGGAGGCAGCAGUAGGGAAUCUUCCGCAAAGGGCGAAAGCCUGACGGAGCAACGCCGCGUGAGUGAUGAAGGUCUUCGGAUCGUAAAACUCUGUUAUUAGGGAAGAACAAACGUGUAAGUAACUAUGCACGUCUUGACGGUACCUAAUCAGAAAGCCACGGCUAACUACGUG